rnacentral:rRNA from 1 species
CGUCUCUCGGAGUGACGGGUACACUGUGGGACCGCCGCUGCUAAAGCGGAGGAAGGAAUGGGCAACGGUAGGUCAGUAUGCCCCGAAUAUCCCGGGCUACACGCGAGCUACAAUGGUUGGUACAAUGGGUAUCUACCCCGAAAGGGGACGGGAAUCUCCUAAAACCAAUCUUAGUUCGGAUUGAGGGCUGCAACUCGCCCUCAUGAAGCUGGAAUCCGUAGUAAUCGCGUUUCAACAGAACGCGGUGAAUACGCCCCUGCUCCUU